CCAGCAUUGUCAUUUUUCUCUUUUGUCAGUUUUACUAGCAAAAGACCAUCUUCUUACAUCAUCCUUUUUUUUUUUUGGUGGUGUUUGAAUCAAAGAAUACUACCGUCUCUGAAAAUCUGAAAUUGCUAGUCAAUGAGAGGACGAUAGAAGGACAUAUUAUAGGUAUAAAUAAGCUGUACCAUGUUACCAGUGAGUACAAGAACAUCAUGAAAGAGGUUGAUGGGUCUUUUGGGACGGAUGAAGGUUAAAAUUAGAUGCAGAGCCCUUGGCUGUUCAUUUCCUUGUCUGAUGAGCCCCAGAGGAGAACUGAUGGUCCCAGGACUUACUGGCUGGAACCCCCUCUGAAGGAAUCGGUGUCAUUCAGGGAUGUUGCCAUACACUUCACCCAGGAGGAAUGGAGCCAUCUUCAUCCAGCUCAGAAGGACCUGUACCGGCGUGUGAUGCAGGAGAACUAUGAGAACCUCGUCUCACUGGGUAAGGGGGGCUCUGGCCUUGGACGCAGAACCUCUGGCCAAAAAGCUUAGCUGAGGUUGGGCUGCCUCGUCAGGGCUAUUCGAGAGCUCGGGGCAUGUGGAGAGAAUCCCAGAUCCC
rnacentral:lncRNA from 1 species